CGGGGUGCAGCAGGCGCGAAAACUCUACAAUGCAGGCAACUGCGAUAGGGGAACAUCGAGUGAUCCUCAUAUUGGGGGUCUGUCCCACCGUCUAAAAAACGGUGGUUAGCAAGGGCCGGGCAAGACCGGUGCCAGCCGCCGCGGUAAUACCGGCGGCUCGAGUGGUGGCCGAUAUUAUUGAGUCUAAAGGGUCCGUAGCCGGCUUUGCAAGUCUCUCGGGAAAUCCAGCGGCUUAACCGUUGGUCGUCCGGGGGGUACUACAUUGCUUGGGACUGGGAGAGGUAGGAGGUACUCAGGGGGUAGGAGUGAAAUCCUGUAAUCCUCUGGGGACCACCGGUGGCGAAGGCGUCCUACCAGAACAGGUCCGACGGUGAGGGACGAAAGCUAGGGGCACGAACCGGAUUAGAUACCCGGGUAGUCCUAGCCGUAAACGAUGCUCGCUAGGUGUCACAACAGUCGUGAACUGUUGUGGUGCCGUAGGGAAGCCGUGAAGCGAGCCACUUGGGAAGUACGACCGCAAGGUUGAAACUUAAAGGAAUUGGCGGGGGAGCACAAGGGCGAAUUCGCG
rnacentral:rRNA from 1 species